rfam:TPA: Bos taurus chromosome 15, whole genome shotgun sequence.
UCCCUAGUGGUCCAGUGGUUAGGGCUCUGUGCUUUUACUGCUGAAGGCCCAGGUUCAAUCUCUGGUUGGGGAA